GGCAGCUAGGAAUUGACAAUACCAUCGAUUCUCUUUUUGUUCAAAACCAAAUCGUAUGAAGACUGGCAUCACGAGACAGUUUUCUGCAGGUUGGUGAACCUCUGCCCCUUUUCUACUUUUCAGAGACUCUGCUACUCGAAGGGACUACAGCUCAAUUCAGCAGCAGCCUCGCCAGCUGUCUACCACAAAGCAGUUACCUCAUAUGAGGUUAGAUAUGAAGAAUCAAGAGACAUUGUAACCUUUAAACACUUUCCUGGCCAGGCAGCUGUGAUGAAAAUAUAGUUCCUAAAGGUCCUUCAGAUGCUUUUCUGCAGUUCAUCGAUGUGCAUGAAAAAACAUUAAAGAUAUCACAGGUGCCAGAAAGCAAUUUUCUUCCUGUAUUGGUGAUGGCAUAUUUUGGAGUGUUCAGACUGACUGACCUGCCUUGGGACACAAAUGUGUUGCCUUGCUGGUAAUCUCUUAUGUCAGAGCUCUGCUAUGAUAAAGGAAUGCUGGAGUUCUUACACAGUAUAUCAAAAAAUGAAAUUAAAACCAUGAAUUCAAAAUGUUGCUUGACACACGUUAAAAGUUAAAGGGCUGUGUUUUUUUUCUUCUCAAUGACAGUGAGAUUUGAUGAUUUGAGUGAGUCGUUAUUGUCGGGUGCUUUUUUACUCUUGUCACAUCUCAGUGCCCUCAACUUGCUCCUGAUCAGAUCAUUAUCAUAGCACCGUAAAUUAUCAGCAUGCCCACUCAUUGCUAUGGCUGAUUGUACACCAGAAUAUAAUUAAACCAGUGCAGAUCAUUAUUAAACACAUAUAGUAGCACGGCUGAUUGCAACAGCUGCAGGCUUCUAUUUGUAGCAUUAACACGUUAGACACUUUUAUGAUGAUACCGCAGGAAUCCAGAUAUAAGUUGAUAAAGAUAUCGAAGAAUUCAGUUUCGAAAAUGUUUACAUUCCACACCAUUUAAGUGUUCUUCUAAUUUAGU